rnacentral:misc_RNA from 1 species
UAAGAGAACGUCCCCGGUGC